AUACUUACCUGGCAAGGGAGACACCAUGAUCAUGAAGGUGGUUCACCCAGGGUGAGGCUCAGCCAUUGCACAUUCCGGUUGGGUUGACCCCUGCGAAUUCUAGUGAUGGGAAAACCGGUUCUUUCCUCUGAUUCGAUUCUUUAACUC
rnacentral:snRNA from 1 species